rnacentral:lncRNA from 1 species
AUCUAGAAUUAAGACACUGAGUGGGAAGAGAGAUACAAAUAUGUCCAUAGAAAUAUGGAAGGUUUUAAGCCAGAAAAUCCUUAAAUGAAGGUCUGUAGCAGUAUCUCUCCAGAUAUUUAAAAAUACAAUGAUCACCAAAAUAUGCUAUAAAUGUUUAAAAUGGACUCCUAUCGAAAGUUCAGAGGUUAAAGAUGAUGUUGUUUAUGGUACUCCUAGAAAUUGAUUCUUCUUUAUUUUUUCUUUUCGUUGAGUUUAAUUGCCACUAGAAUUAUUUUCAAGUUAAGAAGAUAAGAGGAUUGACUUUUUAAACUUCAAAAUGAACUUCCCUGCUGUGACUGACUAUAUUCCCCAGUAUGGAGAAUUAUGAGGAACCUGUUGAACAGAAAAGUCUCUGACCAUAAUCAAGGUCACACAGUCAGAAGGCAUCCCAGCAGACACUCCACACUAGCCAAUGUGGAUUCAGAGACUGCACCCUUGAUUACUGUGUUGUUUGAUGAUACUAGUGCACCUUCAUGAAUCAGAACUUUCCAUAUAUGGAGGUUAUUCAGCAUGUCCUUUGUGAGUAAUGGUUACAGGUAUAAGGUGCAUACAGGUAGAUGUGAAGAAGGCAGUGGAGGAUAACAGGAAAAUGGAAGAGAAUGAGGAAAUGUAUGGUCCUGUGGAAGAAACACUGGAAUUAAGUUUAAAAACAUCUGAGGAAGAUAGAAAACAUUUUAUCUUUCAAGAUAAAAAAAGAAAAGCUCUUUGCCAACAGAAAACAUAAUAUGCGGACUCUAUGGCUAUUGUUUCUGAAAAAUAUAAGAGAUGAUUACAUCACAUUGUGUAUUCUGUAGGAAAAACACUGUAAUGCUUAUAUGGCUAAUAAUGGAAUGAUCUAAGUCAAUAUAUUGUGCAGUUUUGAGUGACAGAAGAAUUACACCAUUAUUCUUUGUAUUUUGGUUUCUGCACUAAGUUAGUCAUGUUCACUGUUUCAUCAUCAAUUAUCAUUCACUCAUUUUAUAAAAUUUUAGCAUCUGCAUUUAAUGUUACUGUAUGGUUUCUGUUUACUACAGCUGGUUGCAAUAGACACAGAUGACAAUUUCAGAGCUGUGUAUAAAAGGUCACAAAAAGUAAACAUUCAAAACAGAAACAUCUUACUUCCAGAAAGUAUAAAAUUGACGUAUGAGUAAGAUGUCAAAAGUUAUGAAAACUGGAAUGUGUUCAUCUCAUUACAUGUAAAUGCAUCUAUUUGAAAAAUGUGUUUUUUAAAGUAGAUCAUUAGGUAACAUUAGUCUUAAAAAUCAUAAAUUCUCCAUCAUUAUGAUUGUUCUAUGUUACCAAUUACAUAUAAAUGUUAAAUUACAGAGAAAACAAAUAGAAAAUAAUCAUCACAUGUUUAAAAAUUUGCAAAAAUAUAAAAAGUUAUAAAAAAAUUCAGUUCAAGAAGUAGAACAAAGGGCAUAAAAAUAGUACUUACUGUAAAGACAAAACCACAUAAUUUAUAUAAUACAUAUUUUAUAGAAUUUUAGUUAUACUACACACACACAUGCACACACACACACACACACACACACACACACACUAAAUGCUAAAAUGUGGAAUAAAAAAUUUACAGUGGGAGGGCAGGCAGAACAAGGUGACAAGAUAGCUAUACCUCCAAAUCUAUAUCCUCCAUCACCAAGACUUAUCUUGAAGUGUUAAACCUAGAAGUGUAUCCAGUAACCAGCCUUCAGAAGAAUAUUUUUUCCAAAGUGCUGUUGAAUUAAAAUCAUAAACAGCUAAUGGAAUAGGAAUGAAAUAAUUAUUUUCUUUCAUUUGCUGGAGAAAAUACUGAGCUAUGAGCUUUUCUUUUCACUACUGGGGUUAAAAUUUUAAGCAUUCUAUUCUUAAAGGAGUGUCUUUUUUCUAAAGAUUUACGUUCAGCAGCUGAAUUUUAAAGCUCUGAGAACACAGCAGUUAUAUGUUAAGCCUAGUGCAAACCUGACCUAGAUUAUUUUCACUGGCUAAAAAUUAUGAAAAAUAUCAAUAAUUUUAUUGGCAAAAAGAUACAUAGAAUAAGUAGUAAUCUUAAGAACUGAACAAGGCAUCCAGACAUACUGAAAAAUAUGGGGCAAAGCAAUUAGAGAAAAAUUAGUCAUUUUCUUCUAGAUAGAUUAUAUAUUCUUUAACAGUAAGGUUUAUGACUAUUAUCUUUAUUUCCCCACCUGCUCUUCCAGGAAUAGCUGCAUAUAAUAGUUACUAAAUACAUAUUUUUAAAUUAUCAGGUUUCCUUUUAAUUCAUGUAACGUUUUAAUCUGUAAAUGUAAUCACAGAAAGUCACCUCAUUUUUAGCUUUACUGAUUGGAGAUGAGGAUUGAUAUUACGAUAAGAGUGAUAUAACAUAUGGUAGACCUAAGUGCAUGAAUUUUGUAUUCCCAGGUAUCAUUUAAAUUUCCUGUCAUUUUAUGUUGUUAUUUGUAAUAUCUUUGUGUUAACAUGCCUCAUGGUAAUUUAGGAGCAGUGACACAGUCUUACUAAAAAAAUGCUAGGGCUCUUGGCUUAAAAUGUUCACUUGCAUUUAAUAUUACAGAAAUUUACAUGUUGGGAUUAAGUGGCCUGAAAAUGUAAGAUAAAAUGGAAGUAAUGCAACCUACUGCAAUAAUAUUGUGCCAAUAUUCAGGCAGGGCACAGAGGAAAAACACAACAGGUUUUGAAACCAGUCAAAUUAAUCACAGCCUAAGCUGGACAAGAGAGAGGGAACAAUUGCUAUUCAUCAGAUCAUGCUGUGAUGAUGAAGGAAACAGAUCUGAUAAUUUGAUUACUGGGCUAUAGAUACAGAAUUUUGGAAAUCUUUCUCAAGUAACUAACUUCUGGGAAUGUGUGCAAGUAUUUCUAUGGCUUGGAAGUAGGAGUUGAAUCGCUCUUAUAACUCGUAUGUUUUAAGGUGAGCAACCCAGACACAACAAAAACUGUUCAAAUAUGAGAUCAAGCAAUAAUUCAUGAUUCACAGACAACAAUCAGGGAAAGGGAGCUAAUAGUAUGAAACUGAUGAACAGAAUAUCAGAGUAGUAGCCCUUGAGGUAUUAUGAGCCAGAGAUCUAUACAUGCAAUUAUAGGCUUCCACUUUUCAUUUUAAUGUCAUGUUAACCCCUUAAAACCUUUUAUUUGUGUCCAAUAGAAUCAAUGUACCUAAUAGUCAUUCACCUCAUAGACUCUACCUCAGGGUGGUAAUUUGAGAGCCUGGAAUGCCAGCUGAGGGAAGACAUGGGAAGACAGCCAAGAUCAGCACUGCCUUUCUGUCAGCCCCUACUUGAUUUUCCUUGCAUCAGUGGUGCUAUCUAAAGGAAUUGCUAAAUGGACUGAUGGAUGUAUUUGUUAAUAAUGACUUUAUCUAUAUAAUGAAGUGAUGGUUGGUAUUCCUGGCCUCUGAGAAUUUUUGAAUCCAGAUUUUAUAAAAUAUAUAAGUCUUGCAUUACUCUGAGGCAGCAAGACAGUGUAUCUCUUUGAAAUGAAGGUGAACUUGACUAAAAUUUCAGGUCUAACAUUUUCUAGCUGUAUGACUUUGGACACCUCGGUUAUUCUCUUUUCCUCACUUUCUUCUUUUAUAAAAUGGAGAUGUUACAUGUCCAUUUAUAUGGUUCAUAUAGCAAACACUUCAUAUGGUUGCUGUAAAGAGAAAAUGAAAUCAUCUAUGUGAACUGCUUACUGGAAUACUGACAGGUAGAAGAUGCUUACUUGUUAAUAGCUAUUUCUAUGGCCACAAGAUGCUCUUAACUAUUUAAAAGCUUCAUCAUUUGAAAGUGAAUACUAUUAUUUAAACUUGAGAGCUAUCAAAUGCAUUUCAUAUUUUCUGUUUGAAAAAUAUGAUGUAAAAUAAAUUAAUACCAAGGAAAUAUUGGUAGUUCACAAAGUCAUUUGCAAUAGUCUCCCAAGACUGAAUACUUUGGGGCACCAAAUUAUGGAAGGCUAGAUAAGUGCUUCUGCAUUUUAAUAAGUGAAGCUGAUACUACAACUUUUUAAAGUAAUGAUGUAUUUUCAUGGCUCCUGUCUCUGUAAAAGCCAAGUGUUCAAAGAAAUGCAUUAAAAAAUUAAUGGAUAUACGAA